UAUUACGGCCAUACCAGUUGAAGAACGCCCAAUCUCGUCUGAUCUCGGAAGCUAAGAAGGCUUGGGCCUGGUUAGUACUUGGAUGGGAGACUGCCUAGGAAUACCAGGUGCUGUAAGCU
ensembl:rRNA 5S_rRNA 5S ribosomal RNA